UCAUCAUGCCCUUAUGACCUGGGCUACACACGUGCUACGAAUGGUUGGUACACGAGUUGCGAGUCGGUGACGGCGAGCUAAUCUCUUAAAGCCAAUCUCAGUUCGGAUUGUAGGCUGCAACUCGCCUACAUGAAGUCGGAAUCGCUAGUAAUCGCGGAUCAGCACGCCGCGGUGAAUACGUUCCCGGGCCUU
rnacentral:rRNA from 1 species